UACGUAGGGUGCAAGCGUUAAUCGGAAUUACUGGGCGUAAAGCGUGCGCAGGCGGUUUUGUAAGACAGGCGUGAAAUCCCCGGGCUCAAACUGGGAAUGGCGCUUGUUACUGCAAAGCUGGAGUGCGGCAGAGGGGGAAGGAAUUCCGCGUGUAGCAGUGAAAUGCGUAGAUAUGCGGAGGAACGCCGAUGGCGAAGGCAAUCCCCUGGGCCUGCACUGAAGCUCAUGCACGAAAGCGUGGGGAGCAAACAGG
rnacentral:rRNA from 1 species